UGGGGCGUAGCCAAGCGGUAAGGCAACGGGUUUUGAUCCCGUGAUUUCGGAGGUUCGAAUCCUCCCGCCCCAGCCA
rnacentral:tRNA from 1 species